rnacentral:rRNA from 1 species
AAACAUGAAUGCACCUGUUUGGAAUGGCAGCACACCGGAAAGCCUUGUGAGCAUGCUCUAGUAUUUUUGAUGGGGAGGAGAAACCCCAAAUGGGUUGACUAUGUUCAUAAUUAUUUCUCCUUGGACAAGUUUAGGGCAGCUUAUGCAGGUGAGAUUGAGCCUAUGACAGAUAGGAGUCAAUGGCCUCAUGUGGAUGUUGGUUUCGACAUGGACGCACCAAUUGACAAAGGAAGACCGCCUGGAAGGCCUAGAAAGCAGAGGUACAAGAGUGCCCUCGAAGGUGGAAAAGGUGGUCCAAAAAAGAAAGAACCUAAACAAUUGGGCAGCCAAAACAGAUGCAAAAGAUGCAAUGAACUAGGUCACAGACAAGCUGCUUGCCCUUUAAAUGGUCCCAAAAAAAGGAAGAGAAAACAGAGAGCAAGAACAUAUCCUGCUGAAGAUGAUGAGCCAGGACCUCAAAUUGGUGGUGCUCCCGUUGGCACACCCAACAGACAAAUUGGUGGCGCUCCUGUUGGCACACCCAAUAGGCAAAUGCUUACUAUUCCUGCCAGUCUCCAUGAUAGUCCUAGGCCAGUGACAAGAAGGAUGCUGGCUAUAGCCUUGGCUGAUGAAUCAUCAGAGCCAACAGAGGUGCCUUCGACCUCGCGUGCGAGAAAGCUGACCCCUAAGAGAAAAAGAACGUAG